CUGACAGAAGAGAGUGAGCACACGCAGUCGAAUUGUAUAAACAUUUAUACAAUUGUCAUUUGCGUGUGCUCACUUCUCAUUCUGUCAG
rfam:Solanum tuberosum cultivar DM 1-3 516 R44 scf00047_116, whole genome shotgun sequence.